GGCGGCGUGCCUAAUACAUGCAAGUCGAACGCUUUCUUUCUACCGGAGCUUGCUCACCGAAAGAAAAGGAGUGGCGAACGGGUGAGUAACACGUGGGUAACCUGCCCAUCAGAAGGGGAUAACACUUGGAAACAGGUGCUAAUACCGUAUAACAAUCGAAACCGCAUGGUUUCGGUUUGAAAGGCGCUUUUGCGUCACUGAUGGAUGGACCCGCGGUGCAUUAGCUAGUUGGUGAGGUAACGGCUCACCAAGGCAACGAUGCAUAGCCGACCUGAGAGGGUGAUCGGCCACAUUGGGACUGAGACACGGCCCAAACUCCUACGGGAGGCAGCAGUAGGGAAUCUUCGGCAAUGGACGCAAGUCUGACCGAGCAACGCCGCGUGAGUGAAAAGAAGGUUUUCGGAUCGUAAAACUCUGUUGUUAGAGAAGAACAAGGAUGAGAGUAAAAUGUUCAUCCCUUGACGGUAUCUAACCAGAAAGCCACGGCUAACUACGUGCCAGCAGCAGC
rnacentral:rRNA from 1 species